rnacentral:rRNA from 1 species
GAGGGGCCCAUGUGAUAUUAGCUAGUUGGUGGGGUAACGGCCCACCAAGGCGAAGAUGUCUAGCGGGUGUGAGAGCACGACCCGCGCCACUCGCACUGAGACACUGGCGAGACACCUACGGGUGGCUGCAGUCGAGGAUCUUCGGCAAUGGGCGAAAGCCUGACCGAGCGAUGCCGCGUGCGCGAUGAAGGCCUUCGGGUUGUAAAGCGCGAAAGAGGGGAGAAAAUCCCGCAGGGGUUUGAUCUAUCCUCAGUAAGCUCGGGCUAAGUUCGUGCCAGCAGCCGCGGUAAGACGAACCGAGCGAACGUUGUUCGGAAUCACUGGGCUUAAAGGGCGCGUAGGCGGGCUGUCAAGUUUGGGGUGAAAUCCCGCGGCUCAACCGUGGAACUGCCUCAAAUACUGACGGUCUCGAGGGAGGUAGGGGCGAGCGGAACUGAUGGUGGAGCGGUGAAAUGCGUUGAUAUCAUCAGGAACUCCGGUGGCGAAGGCGGCUCGCUGGACUUUUUCUGACGCUGAGGCGCGAAAGCCAGGGGAGCAAACGGGAUUAGAUACCCCGGUAGUCGUGGCCUUAAACGAUGAGAACU